AAACCAUAUAUAUUCUUGUAGGGGACAAUAAAACAAAUCAAAUGAAAUAAAAGGGAAGUCCCUAGGGGGUCACCCCAACCCCUCUUGUUUGAAAACUUGAAAACGGUCCAGAUCCCCACCCCUAAACCAUAUAUAUUCUUGUAGGGGACAAUAAAACAAAUCAAAUGAAAUAAAAGGGAAGUCCCUAGGGGGUCACCCCAACCCCUCUUGUUUGAAAACUUGAAAACGGUCCAGAUCCCUACCCCUAAACCAUAUAUAUUCUUGUAUGGGAUAAUAAAACAAAUCACAUGAAAUUAGAGGGAAGUUCCUGGGGGUCACCCCCACCCCGUUCAAUUUGAGAAUGUACUAUUAUCUUGUAAACGGUCCAGAUCCCCAC
rnacentral:lncRNA from 1 species